rnacentral:tRNA from 1 species
GGCUAGGUAGCUCAGUUGGUAGAGCAGCGGAUUGAAAAUCCGCGUGUCGGCAGUUCGAUUCUGUCCCUGGCCA